UUACUUAGAUCUGCCGGGCUGCAGCACCUGCUCCACCUUCCUGUGGCCUCCAGUCAAAUUAUCACGACCAAAGAUGCUGGAAUUUGGGAUAACGGCGCCUACCUGAGGGGCUUGGAACCGGCUUUUGGACUGAAAAAUAGCAGCUUCCUACAGCCUUCUUCCAGGCAGUGUAGUUGCUGUGCAUUGGAAACUGAGUGCCAUCAUAGUUGUUGCUUUGCGAUGAAAACCUUCCCUCCCUGCAUCCGCUGUAG